UACGUAGGGGGCAAGCGUUGUCCGGAAUCAUUGGGCGUAAAGAGCGUGUAGGCGGCCCGGUAAGUCGGCUGUGAAAGUCAGGGGCUCAACCCUUGAAAGCCGGCCGAUACUGUCGGGCUAGAGUCCGGAAGAGGCGAGUGGAAUUCCUGGUGUAGCGGUGAAAUGCGCAGAUAUCAGGAGGAACACCAAUGGCGAAGGCAGCUCGCUGGGACGGUACUGACGCUGAGACGCGAAAGCGUGGGGAGCAAACA
rnacentral:rRNA from 1 species